AGUGGCUCAAUACUCUUCGGCAUCAUCAUAAGCCUCAACAUCCCAGAUUUGGAGCGAUGCACACAUGGAGGAGGUUGUGCAGAGGCUUCUGAGCCAAUAACCUCAGAGCUUCCUAGAUGCCGUCCAUGAUAUGAUCAUGGAGAUUUUCUGGACUCACAAUUGUGCAACCAGCUAGGCUCAUUGUCCCAACCAUCACAUCAGAUAAU
rnacentral:lncRNA from 1 species